ACACUCCUGCGGGAGGCAGCAGUGGGGAAUUUUGGACAAUGGGCGAAAGCCUGAUCCAGCCAUGCCGCGUGCAGGAUGAAGGCCUUCGGGUUGUAAACUGCUUUUGUACGGAACGUAACGGCCUUUUCUAAUAAAGAGGGCUAAUGACGGUACCGUAAGAAUAAGCACCGGCUAACUACGUGCCAGCAGCCGCGGUAAUACGUAGGGUGCAAGCGUUAAUCGGAAUUACUGGGCGUAAAGCGUGCGCAGGCGGUUAUGUAAGACAGUUGUGAAAUCCCCGGGCUCAACCUGGGAACUGCAUCUGUGACUGCAUAGCUAGAGUACGGUAGAGGGGGAUGGAAUUCCGCGUGUAGCAGUGAAAUGCGUAGAUAUGCGGAGGAACACCGAUGGCGAAGGCAAUCCCCUGGACCUGUACUGACGCUCAUGCACGAAAGCGUGGGGAGCAAACAGGAUUAGAAACCCGUGUAGUCC
rnacentral:rRNA from 1 species